UGUUCCUUGGGUGAAAAGUUCUGCUUGAAUCACUCAACAAGAAUGAGCAAUCAGCCAAUGGCCAGUCCAGAGAGUCCACAAACCCCCAGUUCAAGAAAAUGAGCGGAGACUUCCCAUCGGCCAACGGAGAAGCUGGUGGGGAGGCCCCCAAGGGCUACACUCAGGACCAGGUGGAUGCAGUGAAGAGGGUAAAGCGAUGCAAAGAUUACUAUGAAAUUCUGGGAGUAAACAGAGAAGCUUCUGAUGAGGACCUGAAAAAGGCUUACAGGAAACUUGCACUGAAAUUUCACCCAGAUAAGAACCACGCACCAGGGGCUACAGAGGCCUUUAAAGCCAUUGGUAACGCGUACGCGGUAUUGAGCAACCCGGAGAAGAGGAAGCAAUAUGACCAGUUCGGAGACGAGAAACUCAACCCUGCUCGGCACGGACACAGUCACUCGGACUUCCACCGCGGGUUUGAGGCAGACAUCUCCCCCGAGGACCUCUUCAACAUGUUUUUUGGUGGUGGUUUUCCUUCUAGUAACGUUCACGUGUACAGCAACGGCAGGAUGCGAUACACCUACCAUCAGAGGCAGGACAGGAGAGAACAUCAGGGUGAUGGUGGCCUUGGGUUGUUUGUCCAGCUGAUGCCUAUCCUCAUCCUGAUCAUUGUGUCUGCUCUCAGCCAGAUGAUGGUCUCCAGCCCACCCUACAGUUUGAGCCAGAGGCCGUCUGUGGGUCACAUACACAGGAGAGUGACAGAGCACUUAAGAGUCACCUAUUACGUAGCUGAGAACUUUGCAGAUGAAUACACGGGCACAAACCUGAAAAAUGUGGAAAGGAGCGUGGAGGACGACUACAUCGCAAACCUUCGAAAUAACUGCUGGAAAGAGAAGCAGCAGAAGGAAGGCUUGUUGUACCGGGCGCGCUACUUCGGAGACUCGGAUCUGUACCAGCGAGCACAGAAGAUGGGCACCCCCAGCUGUAGCAGACUGUCAGACGUUCAAGCCUCUCUGCAUGGAUAGUCACCGCCUGCCCGCUCAGCAGAGGUCUAAACUCCUUGAAAUGCCUGAAGACUUUUGGUGAAGUGCACUGAGCCGAGGACAGGAAAUCCAGCUGCUCCUUCCCUUCCGACACCGCUAGCGUGCGACAGUCUUGUUGCUCCUGAGAUCCCACAGCCCCGAGAACAAAACGUGUAGAGUGUAAAAAAAUAAAAAUAUAACACACAAACUUCACUGCAGAAGCCAUGAAGCAGGAGACCCUUCGCGACCGCUCCGCUCGCUGCCGACGGAGAGAGAAACCGGACGAUUUGGUGAUAACAGAAAACUUUUUAAAAGAAAAAAAAAAAAAAGAAAAAAGAAAAGAUAAUCUAUUUAGAAUUAAUUUAUAGCUGUAUAUAUGUUGUACUUUUAAACUAUGCAGGGGUUGGAUGAUUAAAUUAUUUUGUUUUCUGCCCGGUUUGGUAAACGGGGCAGGAGGAAGCCUCUUCCCAGGGUGUCUUGUUCUGCAGCGCUUUCCUGCCUGACACCACUAAAACCAGAAUCACUUGGCAGUUCCUGUACUUUUGCUUUCUGGAGGAUGGUGGAAUUCUGCGGCUCGGGAUGGUGAUACACCCGCCUUUUCGGGUUUUAAUAAAAAGUAAUUCCAAAUCUGGAGGGGGUUAACAAAGAAAUUGGGGAAACUGGCCGGAUUCGUGGCGUGGUUUUGCAGCGUUGGCAGAAGCUGUUGGGGUAGAGGGGGGUGUCAGCUGAGCCCCGGCGUCGCGCUCGGUGACGGGAAGGAUUGUCCUGGAUGGGUUUUGCUCGUCGGUUGUUGGGUUGAUUUGUGCUGGUCAAGUCUUUUUUUGCAGAGUCUGCUGGAAUUCUGCCUCGUCAUCAGCCCGCGGCGUUGGGGCUGUAAAAGAGGGCUUUGCCACCAGCCUCUCUCCUUUUGGUGGGGCUUUUCGUGUGUGUGUCCUCCACUUGGGGUUCCUCACCCACCAGCAUUCCCGUCUGCAACGUGGCCGUGGCCCUGACACCCUGUCUCUGAGGAGACCUGUCAGAUAGUGCUAAUUCGUAAGAAAAGGAGCUUUUUCUUGCUUCUGUUGAAGGAAGUUUUGCUGAUGGAGAUGGGGGGGUGAAACUGCUCUGUCCUCAGAGCUCUGCAGCGCAUCUCUCUCCAUCGCUGUUGGGCAGGACCGGCGUUAGGGCGUCAGGAGGGCAUUCCAGGUUAGGAACUCUCUCUUGGAAGCCAAACUGGUAUGAGCAGAGCUACCUCCUGUGGAAUAAACUGGAUUAGUAAUUUUUUUUUUUUUCUUUUUUUUGGUACCCUGCAGUUCAUUUUUAUCUAAAGCCGUUUCCAAUGAGAACUGCCCCGUGACACCCUCGGGGGAGCCAACCCAAACGGCGGCUCCCGGGUGGGGUGGCAGGGGCUGGAGGAGGUGAGAGAUAAGGUGGGUUUAUAUCUUUGUUGCUAGGGAUCCAUGUGGCUUUAUGUUCAGCUUUUUAUUUAUUUGGCAAAAUAGCAGCCCCUCCCACCCCCCCCAGUUAACUCCAAGCCUUACUGUCCCGCACCCACUACGACUUGCACCUGAUUUUAAGGUUGGGGAUUUUUUUUUUGGUGUUUUUUCUUUUAAAAUGAUCCCUCCACUGUUGGAAAAAAUUGAGUGGAAGUAUGGCAUUUGGAAAUAGCUCUUAAUAGAGGCACAGGAGAAGAGAUGGUGGGGAGGGGAUGGUCACAAAAGAUACUGAGUGUCCUGCACGACGGCAUUGCUCACCCACCAAAACCUUUGGAUUUUUUUUCUUUUAUUUUAUUUUUUUUUCUUUUUCCGAGUAGAUACCCGUGGAUAAUAAGGAGCGAGAAGGCGUAGAUCCUAAGGGAUGCUCACAGAGGCUGUAUCUCUCGAUUUAGAACGAAUUAUACGACUGUACAUCUAUAAAUAAAUGUUUAUAACGUGAAA